AACGAACGCUGGCGGCAUGCCUAACACAUGCAAGUCGAACGAGACCUUCGGGUCUAGUGGCGCACGGGUGCGUAACGCGUGGGAACCUGCCCUUAGGUUCGGAAUAACUCCCCGAAAGGGGUGCUAAUACCGGAUAAUGCCUCCGGACCAAAGAUUUAUCGCCUUUGGAUGGGCCCGCGUUGGAUUAGCUAGUUGGUAGGGUAAAAGCCUACCAAGGCGACGAUCCAUAGCUGGUCUGAGAGGAUGAUCAGCCACACUGGGACUGAGACACGGCCCAGACUCCUACGGGAGGCAGCAGUGGGGAAUAUUGGACAAUGGGCGAAAGCCUGAUCCAGCAAGGCCGCGUGAGUGAUGAAGGCCUUAGGGUUGUAAAGCUCUUUUACCCGGGAUGAUAAUGACAGUACCGUGAGAAUAAGCUCCGGCUAACUCCGUG
rnacentral:rRNA from 1 species